rnacentral:rRNA from 1 species
CGCGUAGGCGGUCUAUUAAGUCUGAUGUGAAAGGUACCGGCUCAACCGGUGAAGUGCAUUGGAAACUGGUAGACUUGAGUAUUGGAGAGGCAAGUGGAAUUCCUAGUGUAGCGGUGAAAUGCGUAGAUAUUAGGAGGAACACCAGUGGCGAAGGCGGCUUGCUGGACAAAUACUGACGCUGAGGUGCGAAAGCGUGGGAGCGAACA